rnacentral:misc_RNA from 1 species
UGUAAGUUCUGAAAACAUGGAAUCAAACAAAUGAUUAAACAUAAUUUUAAGAAAUCAGGAAAGUGUGUUAAGAUUAUGCAAGAAAAAUCUCUAGUAGAUCUUGGUCAAGUUUGAAUUGGCUUGUUCCUAUCAUUACAUGAGUCUUAUAAAAAACCUUAAGAAACGUUACAACUCCCCAGAUUUUCCCACUAGUUUCCACAUAAGCUUAAAACCAGGAAUUUGCUCUCAAAAAAAUAUCAAAUUUUGGAACAGCUAAGCGUGAACAUUUCCUACAUCUACUCAAUUCUGGUAUAAAAGGUGAGUUAAGUAGAGAGGCAAAAAUGCACCAAUAUGGAUAUG